rnacentral:tRNA from 2 species
GCCGAAGUGGUGGAAUUGGUAGACACGCAGUGUUCAGGUCGCUGUGCCUUCGGGUGUGAGAGUUCGAGUCUCUCCUUCGGCACCA